ensembl:lincRNA
GGAGCCUCUUAAAUUUAUUAUGGUUAGACACCUCCUUCUUCAAUUAUCUAUGUUCAAGUCACAGAGAUUAAAAUAUGCUCCCUUGACUAAGUGGGAGUGAUACUUCAGAGGAGGAAUUAUCUUGUUCCAUAUUUACUUACCAGGUCAAGCAUCCAUCAUGCACCGUGUACACCACAGUGCACCACAGCUGAGACCAGCGUGGAUCCCACCAUCAGCAGCUUUUCCAAAGGACCCAGGCAAAAUGUGUGGUGUUUCUGAGGGCAUCCUCUUCCACAUUUUUAGCGAAAUCUACCUCGAUACACACAGAUGCAAUGCUCACAGAGGCCAGAACGCUUCCCAGAAGCAGCCAAGGUAUUAACUUUGGGAUCCUGAAUUUCAACCAAAGAAAACAGGACUGAGUGAAGGCUGAAAUCUUGAGGCAGUAAAAUACAGAAAGGCAAGUGGCAAACCAUAGGCUGAUAGAGCUAAAAAACAUCCAAAGGAACAUCAUUGCUGCACCAUAAAUUAUUUUGACGUAAAGGAGUGGAAAGAACACAGAGAAAAAAGUUUGUACCAUUAACACCAUCUGCAGACCAAAUCUAGACAUCCCUAUGCACAUUAAGAGGAUUUGAACUGGCAUUAGCUUUCUAUGUUUGAUCAAUUCAUUACAGUUAACAAUGAUAAGAAAUCCAUUUACUGUGAUCCCUGUGAAGAAUUCUGCUGACAUGAUGAUAAUAUGAAGAACAGCUGAAAAAGACAAGGCCAUGUUUUCUAAGUAAGACAAGUCUUAGCUUUUCCUUGUAGAUGGUCCUGUAUACUUCCUCCAGAUGAUCUUGCAAAUGGGAACAUACAGCACCGAGAAAUCUCAACUUCUGCCAGCUUCUGUAUCAUGGGUAGAGCCUUACACUAGCUUUUCCUCUAAGGAAUAAAAUCAGAGACUACUUUUUGAAUCUGAUGCUCUUCAGAUGAAACUGGAGCAAUGCAAAUCUGAAGAUUUGAAUGAUGGCUAGGUCUUCCAAUUACAUCCUGAGAAAAAUUGCUCCCUUGGCACCAUUCCAUUCUCAUUCUUGCUCAAUUUUGAAAAACAAAAAUCUGAUUGCAAGUAUGUUUUGCUUUGGUUAUUGAUGUUUUGUUUUUGUCUUUUAUUUUUUCCUUAUGCUAAAUGCUGCAUCCUGAAGACAGAUACUUAUUUCCUAUUACUGCCACAAAUAUCCAGUCUCAAAGAUAGCUCUUUCCCCGGCACACUUUUUGACUUAUAAUAAUUUCAAGACACUUUAAUAAAAUUUCCCCUCCCCAUAUCCUACCCCUACUAAAGGCAAUUUCCUUUCCAGACUUGAAAAUCAGUUCCUGGAAUAUAACUUUUUAAUAAAAAUCUUCCUUCCCCUGAAAUAUAUCCUGUUUUCAUGGCCUUCUUGAUACAAUGUUGACCUUAUGAAUAGCAAACUAGAGUUAUAAAAGUAGUGCAUAAUUAAUUCACAUGAUGACAUCGUCCUGGGCUCUUGUUUACAAGCAUCAUUUCAAAAAGUAGAUGAUGUAAAAACUAUUAACUACCAGCAGAGGGCAUAAUUAUCAUGUUAAAGUGAGCAUCAUCC